ACCCUUCUGGCCUAAUGGAUAAGGCAUCUCCCUCCUAAGGAGAAGAUUCUGAGUUCGAGUCUCAGGUAGGGUG
rnacentral:tRNA from 1 species